AUCUGUGAACGUUUUGAAAAACAAAAAUUCAGGUGAACUUAAAUUUGAAAAUAAAUCUCAAUUUACCAAAAAAAAAUGAAUGAUUAAAUAAAAAAAAUAUCCAGUGAUUUUUUUUAAGUUUGAAAAAGUGUAAAAGAGCCCAUUUCAAAAGAAAAAAAAUUGGAUCAGAAAUGACAACCCAUUUUCUACGAGAAAAUUAGCUUAAUUGGGCUCAAUUGUGUUCCAUAGAGAUAUAAUUAUUAAAAUAAUGACAGCAUAUUAUUAAUUGAAACAAUAAUUGGUUAAUUGUAAUUGAUCUGUUGAUUGUUUAUAUAUUGGUGGAAAAAGUGAUAACUCUGUUGAAACAUGACGAGGCAACGGGCAAGCAACAGUUGCAACAGGAGGAGGAGUCCCAGCUUCAACAACGGGUACAACGGGAGGAUGAUAACGGGAGUUCUGUUGUUCACCUUCCUGUUGUCAACGGCUCCAACAGACGCCGCUGUUGGAGAAACUAAAGAGAACAUAGAGCAAGCGACGGCUGUGGAGGGCAAGACAGCAGAAAUCCCCUGCCUUGUGACCUCUACUGACAAGGUCAUGUUGACCCUUUGGUAUAAGGACAACACUGGCAUGCCGAUCUACAGUUACGACGCCAGAUCCAAAGCGACAAGGUCAUGGGUGGACUUGGUGUUGGGGUCGAGAGCCACCUUCGUGCCAGACAGCACGCCGCCCUACCUCAAGUUAGAGGACGUGAAGGAGGAGGACGGAGGUGUCUACACAUGUAGAGUCGACUUCAAGUUAUCUCCCACCCAGCGAGCCAAGGCCAACCUCUCCGUUAUCAUUCCUCCUGGAUCCCCCACUAUUCUGGAGGAAGAUGGGACGCAAGUUGAUGCUGUUAUCGGUCCUUACGACGAGGGCACCUUCUUCAAAAUCACCUGUCAGGUCAUUGGAGGACAGCCGCCCCCGCAAGUGACGUGGUGGCAAGGAAAGGACCUCUUAGACGGAGAGAUUGACAGCCAGACUGGAAACGUCUACCGGAACACCCUCAUCGUAGGGCCCCUGACCCGUGAACACCUCAACGCUUUCUACGUGUGUCAAUCCAUCAACACAGACAAGAUUGACCCUCCCAGCAAAGCGGUCUCCCUCGAUGUCAACUUCCGGCCUCUGACAGUGGAGGUCCUUGGCUCGGGGCAACCCUUAACCUCAGGGAUGCAAUACGAAGUGACCUGUAGGAGCACCGGGGCUCGACCCCCGGCCCUAAUCACCUGGUGGAUGGAUGACAAGGAACUUACCAACGCUACGUCUCAUACUGAGAACCUUGGUAACGUCACCCUAAGCACCCUGACUCUUGUUCCUGACGAUUCCGACGGAGGUAAGCUCCUCAGGUGCCUGGCUCAGUCCCCCGUCAUCGACCACCAGCCUAUCGAAGACUCCUGGAAGCUCGACAUCCAGUAUGUGCCCCAUGUGAACCUGAGUUUGGCUGAAGACACAGACAUGGAAGACAUUAGCGAAGGAGACAACGUGACCUUCGUAUGUAAAGUCAAGGCCAACCCCACUGUCUCCAAGAUCAGCUGGUACCAUAGGGGCAUCCAGAUCCACCCUAACGUGACAGGAGGCAUUGUCAUCACCAGACAUAAGCUCAAUCUCAAUGAUAUACAGAGACAAGAUGCUGGUUUCUACACCUGCGUCGCUUCCAACGCCAUUGGUGACGGAGAGAGCCACCCCAUAGUGCUCAAUGUGAAGUACGUUCCAGUGUGUUCAGACACAAGGAAGCAAGUGAUUGGCGCCGCCAAACACGACCAAGUUCAGAUGGAGUGUCGUGUUAACGCCUCCCCGGGCAAAGUCACAUUCCGCUGGUACUUCAUUUCGACGGAAGAGCUGGUGAACAUCUCCCAAGAGAGCUUCUCAGUACAAGACCGCACCUCCCUUCUGAACUACAAAGUGAACUCAGAGACCGACUACGGCAACAUUCUCUGCUUCGCCUCCAACGAGCUGGGCGACCAGUCAGAUGCUUGUACUUUUGCGGUGGUUCCUGCAGGCAAGCCUGAUGCCCUCGAGAACUGCACCAUCACUAACCAGACUACUAACACGAUCUUCGUUGAUUGUCUUCCUGGCUAUGACGGCGGCUUGGAGCAGCAAUUUGUGCUUCAGGUCUUUGAGUUCGAUGGAGAAACCCGCCAUAUGAUGCUCAAUAUCACCGAGAUGGUAGAACCUUCCUUCACGAUAGAGGGUCUUCAUCCUGGAACGUCUUAUCUCCUGGCCAUGUACGCGGAGAAUAUCAAAGGAAUGAGUGACCAGCGAACCCUUCACGGGUUUACAUUGCCUUCGCUGCCAGGACAGAGGAACCGGAUCAGCCACCCCCAUAUCUUCCCCAUCACGCCGAUCUUGGGGGUCCUGAUCGGGGUGGUGGGGGCACUGGUGUUGGUGGCCAUCGUGGUGGUGGUGGUGAUGAAGCUACGAGGCGAUGCCCUGAGGGCCAAGGACCCACAAGACUCCAGCCUCAAGGUCCCACACCCUUCUCUCCAACACACCAAGGACCCGGACGAUGGACCUGAUGUUAUUCUCUGUCGCACUGAUCCAACUUACGAAGAUGUGGACGGCAUUCCACAGAAGCUGAAACACGCCAAUAUCUACGAGACUGUGCCCUACGACAACAAAGACAGCCACUCAAAAAACUCCGAGUCUUGUUGUUCUUAUGCCUGCUAGCUACUGUCCGCCUGCUCCCCUGCCUUCCAAAUGUAUUUAUUUUGUAUGCACUCUUCAGCACCCUGUUUGAUAUGACAGCACCGAGAAGGACGACGUUGAGUACGCUGAACUCACCUUCAACAACGGGAAGAGUAAGCACAAGACCGGCAAGAAACAGGGAGGCAGUGGCGCCAAUGGGGCCGUUCGUUCGAGCGAGGACGCGACUAUCUACGCAA
rnacentral:misc_RNA from 1 species